CACAGCCUUGAGGCUGUUGUUUCUGUUUCUUUUUACUCAGUCUGAGUUUACAGGCUUCAUCAAAUGAAAAACAGAACCAGGACCACCAUGCAGCGCUGUGUCUGUGGGAGGCUUUAAAAGAAGUCCAGGUGUCACAAAGAAGACAGAGCAACAUUGGUUUAGGAAAAGUGGAUCAUCUUUGCCUCAUCAGCCAGGCCAUUUUCUACAGGACGACGGAUCCCGAAGCCCCUGGCAGCCCAACGUUGCCAUCAUCUCCGUAACUGGCAGCUAUAUUGUCCACAGUAGCAGCUGCGACUCGCCUCGGGGACGAAGCUCUUGUCUCACCGCACAUGGUAACGUAAGACAGAAUUAAAAACAAAUGCCAAAUACAGUAAUACAGAGGACACUCUGUAGAGGACACUGACUGUCCUUCAGGAUGCAUGUUUUGAUUUGUAUGUAAGAUUUUCACAUGCUGUUUUUAGCUUUUUAUGUGCAUGAAAAUAUUGAAUGACUUCACUAUGUAAGAAUUUGUGAUAAGUCGGACUUUAAUAGAGAGCAGCAGCAGUAUUGAGGAUUAGAACAUUUAUCAGUUUGAUGAGAAUUUAGCAUAAAGUAGUGAUUAAAGGGAAUUGUUUGCCCACAAAUGUGAAUUUGCUGAAAAUGAACUCACUCUCAGGGCAUCCAAGAUGUAGAUAAGUUAGUUUCUUCAUCAGAACAGAUUUGGAGAAAUGCAGCAUUUGAUCACUUGCUCACCAAUGCAUCCUCUGCAGUGAAUGGGUGCCGUCAGAAUGAAAGUCCAAACAGCUGAUAAAAACAACACAGUAAUGUAUACAUAAUCCAUUUUUAAUAAACAAAUUCAUCAUGAAGACAUUUUUUUUUAUAUUUUUCAUCAAAUUUUCAUCUUUUUAAAUGAAGAUCUGGAUAAGGUUUUAACCCAAAAUGCGAAGAUCAUUACUCAAAAGUUGCUAAAGAUAAAGAUCAUCUGUUAAAUGACAAAUAAC
ensembl:lncRNA